rnacentral:tRNA from 1 species
CACGGGAAAUGGUCGGGAUAGCUCAGUUGUUAGAGCAG